GGGGUCCCCUUCCACACUGUGGUAGCUUUGUUCUUUUGCUGUUUGCAAUAAAUCUUGCUGCUGCCCACUCUUUGGGUCCACACUGCCUUUAUGAGCUGUAAAACUCACCACGAAGGUCUGCAGCUUCACUCCUGAGGCCAGUGAGACCAUGAACCCACCAGGAGGAAUGAACAACUCUGGCUGGGAUGAACAAACUUCAGAUGGGAGGAAUGAACAACUCCAGAUGUGCCACUUUAAGAGCUGUAACACACCGCUAAGGUGUGCAGCUUCACUCUUGAAGCCAGUGAGAUCAAGAACCCACCAGAAGAAAGAAACUCCAAACACACAUCCAAACAUCAGAAGGAACAAACUCUGGACACACCAUCUUUAAGAACUGUAACACUCACCGAGAGGGUCCGUGGCUUCAUUCUUAAAGUCAGCGAGACCAAGAACCCACCAAUUUCGGACACAACUUCUCCUUGAGCUAGGUGGACAUAGUGACUCAUUUGUAAGAAAUAAAAUAUAGCAAAAUAAUGAGCUGUCACUUCUCAGACUCUAAUUUCCAUCCUUCUUCCCUCUUCCAUUUCCUCCCUGGCUCUGAGCAAAGCCAGCUGCUAGGCUGUGAGCUUUCCUAUGGAGAAGUACAUGUGACAAAGAACUGAGGGAAGGCUUCAAUGCAAUAGCCAGCAAAGAAAUGAAUUAUGUCAACAACAACAUGAACGAGCUUGGAACAAGAACCUGUCUCCAUUGAACCUUCAAAUGAGAGUGCAGCCCUGGCUGCCAUUUUGACUGCAGCCUUUUGAGAGGCUUUGAGAGAGAGAGAUUUCAGCUAAGCUGCUCCCAGAUUCCUGAUCCAGAAACUAAGUGAAGCAUUUGAAGAGAAGAUAUAGGAUCCUCUCAAGCGUCUGUUAAUGUUGUUUUUAUCACUGGCAUCAAUUUUUAAUGUCUUGAGUUAUUUAACUUAGACAUUUCAAUGAUGAACAUUGUUAUGGAGGCUGAAUUGUGUCCCCUCUAAAAUUCAUAUGUUGAUAUUUUAUCCCCUAAUACUCAUAAUGUAAUGGUAUUUGGAAAUAGGGACUUGAACGAAGUAAUUAAGAUAAAAUGAGAUUAUAUGAGUGGGCAUUUAUCCAAUGUAAGUGGUCUCCUUAUAAGGAGACUAGGAGACAAACACGCACAGAGGAUCAUGUGAAUAAAGAGAGAAGAUGGUCAUCUACACACCAAGUUGAACGACCCUCAUUAGAAACCAACCCUGCAAACAACUUGAUGUUGAACUUCUAGCUUUCAGACCUGUGAGAAAAUAAAUUGCUGUUGUUUAAAUUACCCAAUCUGUGAUAUUUUUUAUGGCAGCUCCAGCAGACUAAUUCAGCAGUCCUUAUAGUUUCACAAACAGAAUAAAUAGAAAAAAAAUAAUUCACUGAAACUUGUUACCAUCCAACAGUAAAUGUAUUUAACUCAUCUAUAAACAGUUUCACAUAAUUUUCUCACUUAAAAAAAACUUCUGUUAAAAAAAGACAUUCAUUGGAGAUGCAUUUUGAAAUAUACAUAAUCUAAAUUUAAAAAUUAAAAAGUCAUUAUCCUUAAUCGGUUAAUAUUACAGUUUAUUGCCAGUGGUUUUUCUUUACAAACACAUACACUAAUGGUUCAAAAUAUCCUAACGCAUCAUGGAUAUUUUUUACAUAUUGUCAAUGUGACUUUGGGCAUAUUGUUAACUUCCGUACACCUCAGUUUUGUCAUCAGUAAAAUGAGGAUAAUAUGAACCGUUCAGGUUUUUGUUAAUGAUUUAUAUUAAAGUGCUAUAUACAAGGCACUUAAUAAAGUGCCUGGCACCUAGUAAGCAAACAAUAAGUGGUCUGUAUUAUUUGUAUGUCCUGC
rnacentral:lncRNA from 1 species